rnacentral:tRNA from 1 species
GGAACUGUCAUCCAGUGGUAGACUGUUUGCCUUGAAUGCAUGAAGACCUAGGUUCAGUCCCUAGUACUUCCA